UACGUAGGCAGCGAGCGUUGUUCGGAGUUACUGGGCGUAAAGCGUGCGUAGGCGGUGGUCCAAGUCUGGUGUGAAAUCUCCCGGCUUAACUGGGAGGGUGCGCCGGAAACUGGGCCGCUGGAGUACGGGAGAGGCAAGCGGAAUUCCAGGUGUAGCGGUGAAAUGCGUAGAUAUCUGGAGGAACACCCGUGGUGCAGACGGCUUGCUGGACCGUGACUGACGCUGAGGCACGAAAGCGUGGGGAGCAA
rnacentral:rRNA from 1 species